GCCUCCUUGGCUCAGUGGCUAGAGCGUGUCUUUCCUAUCAUGCCAGCGGAUCGAAUCCACUAGCUAGGAUCAGGACGAGGUCGCGGGUUCGACCCCCGCAGGAGGUU